UCUGUGAGCUGAUUCCACUAGUGACUGAGCACAGACCACCACCAUGGAGCUGGGGCUGCGCUGGGUUCUCCUUGUUGCUCUGGUGAAAGGUGUGCAGUGUGAGGUGCAGCUGGUGGAGUCUGGGGGAGGCUUGGUGCAGCCUGGGGGGUCCCUGAGACUCUCCUGUGUAGCCUCCGGAUUCACCUUCAGUAGCUAUCACAUGAACUGGAUCCGCCAGGCUCCAGGGAAGGGGCUGGAGUGGAUUUCAUACAUUAGUUAUAAUAGUGGUACCAAAUACUACACAGACUCUGUGAAGGGCCGCUUCACCAUCUCCAGAGACAACAGCAAGAGCACACUUUACCUGCAGAUGAACAACCUGAGAGUGGAGGACACGGCCGUCUAUUACUGUGCUAGAGACACACUUGACUCCUGCAGACUAAGAGGAGCUCACCAGGUCCGCUGCCGCCCUGUCCUGCUCAGCACGGGCUGCUCCACGUGCAAGGCGCAGGCGCGGUCUCCAUGGCGCCUCCUACAGAAGGACCGGAUCGGAGCCGAGUGCGCAUGGGG